AGCGAACGCUGGCGGCAGGCCUAACACAUGCAAGUCGAACGGACCCUUCAGGGUUAGUGGCGGACGGGUGAGUAACACGUGGGAACCUUCCCAGUGGUACGGAAUAACUCAGGGAAACUUGAGCUAAUACCGUAUACGCCCCUCGGGGGAAAGAUUUAUCGCCAUCGGAUGAACCCGCGUCGGAUUAGCUAGUUGGCGUGGUAAAGGCGCACCAAGGCGACGAUCCGUAGCUGGUCUGAGAGGAUGAUCAGCCACACUGGGACUGAGACACGGCCCAGACUCCUACGGGAGGCAGCAGUGGGGAAUAUUGGACAAUGGGCGCGAGCCUGAUCCAGCCAUGCCGCGUGAGUGAUGAAGGCCUUAGGGUUGUAAAGCUCUUUCGCCGACGAAGAUAAUGACGGUAGUCGGAGAAGAAGCCCCGGCUAACUUCGUGCCAGCAGCCGCCGUAACAC
rnacentral:rRNA from 1 species